rnacentral:rRNA from 1 species
AUACGAAGGGGGCUAGCGUUGUUCGGAAUUACUGGGCGUAAAGCGCGCGUAGGCGGACUGAUCAGUUGGGGGUGAAAUCCCAGGGCUUAACCCUGGAACUGCCUCCAAUACUGUCAGUCUAGAGUUCGGGAGAGGUGAGUGGAAUUCCUAGUGUAGAGGUGAAAUUCGUAGAUAUUAGGAAGAACACCAGUGGCGAAGGCGGCUCACUGGCCCGAUACUGACGCUGAGGCGCGAAAGCGUGGGGAGCAAACAGGAUUAGAUACCCCAGUAGUCC